AGGAGUAUGUUGCCAUUCCAACAUUCAAGAACCCAGAUCUGUGGCCAGCUAGCAAGGAUCAAAGAAAGACCUUAAGAAGUAAUCUUCAGGACCUCGCCAGGUAGCAGGGCUUUGCUCACCCAGCAUGUCAAGACUGCUUUGGCGGAACAGGCGGAAGAAACCAACAAGAAGGUUCAACGGCUGAGAUGGCGACGCAGCAAAGCACAGUGGAGUGCUUAGGGUGUGUUGGAGCACA
rnacentral:lncRNA from 1 species